rnacentral:lncRNA from 10 species
AACAUCCAAUGUUCUUUUUCCUGCUCCAGUUUAGAAAUCUUUUCCAAACUCUGUUGAACCUUGAAAAGUAACAGAGUGUUGUAUCUUAGAGACUAAUACAGAUAAACCUUAGUGGCCCAAAAACUAUCUUACAGAAUGUAAACCAAAACUACCCCACAGAGGUAAAAAUAUAAUAAUAAAGUUUGACCCUCGAAUAGGAAGAGAUUUAUUAGACAUGAUACAAAAAGCACAACCAUAAAUCGAGAAAUUAAACUAUAGUGAGAUAAAAAAAAAAACUCUACUCAUUGAAAAACAUCAAGAGUGAAAAGAAAACUCAGAAUUGAAUUAGAAUCUGUAAAGCAUUUAUCCAACAGAGACCCAAUAACUAGAACAUACAAGGAAUUUUUGCAAACCAAUAAGAUAGACAACUCAACAGAGAAGAAGGCAAAGAAAAAAAAACCCAACAAAAAACUUGAACAAGACUAUAAACAAAUUAAAAGGUAUGCAAUGCCACUAAUUAUCAAAGCACAGCAACUUAAACCAUCCACUUAAUUAAAAUAUAAAAAGCAGAGAAUACAAAAAUGGACAUGUUUGUAAACAAUUAGAACUAUAGGUUGGUGCAGGCCAGGCACGGUGGCUCAUGACUGUAAUCCCAGCACUUUAGGAGGCCGAGGCGGGCUGAUCACGAGGUCAGGAGAUCGAGACCAUCCUGGCUAACACAGUGAAACCCCAUCUCUAUUAAAAAUACAAAAAAUUAGCCAGGUGUGGCGGCGGGCGCCUGUAGUCCCAGCUACUCGGGAGGCUGAGGCAGGAGAAUGGCGUGAACCCAGGAGGCGGAGUUUGCAGUGAGCCGAGAUAGCGCCACUGCACUCCAGCCUGGGCGACAGAGUAAGACUCCGUCUCCAAAAAAAAAAAAAAAAAUAGAACUAUAGGUUGGUGCAAAAGUAAUUUUGUAGUUUUGCCAUUUAUUUAAAACUAAUAUCAACAACCACAAUUACUUUUGCACCAACCUAAUACCAUAUACUGUGCUGAACACAAAAAGCCAGACCUGAAAAAGCAUAAUUGCAUUUAAUAAAAAGUUCAGUAUCAGGGAAAAAAACUAAUCUAUAGUGCUAGAAGGCAGGAGAAUGGUUACCUUUGGGGGAGAGGAGAGCAGUAACUGGAAAUGGGCAUGAGGAAGGCUUCUAAGGUCCUAAUAAUUUUUAAGGUAAACCUUUGCUAUGAAAAACUCUCAAAUCGUUUUUCCUCUGUUCUCACACUUUAACAAUCAAUACAGAAGACUUCUGUGACCCCAAAAUAUGUGGGGUAUUUCCCCAUCAACAAACAAGUAGUCAGUUUUGUUGUGGACAUCAGCUGGGUGUCCUCCCAUUUAAUUCCACCACUAUCUACAUGGAGAUAGUGUGAGAUCCCACAGAUUGUGAGCUCAGUUCCCAAAAAUGCCUCCCCUGCAGACGGCAGUCACAAGUCUGGACCUUGAGAACUUGUGACUAACCGGCUUUAAAUUGAGGUUCCCAUGACUCCCUUUUUGAGUUUGAUUAAUUUGUUGGAGUGCCUCACAGAAGUCAGGGAAACAUGUUUACUGGUUUAUUACCAAGGAUACAGAUGAAGAGAUUUAGAGUGAAGCAGAGGAAGGGGUGCAGACUUUCCAUGUCCUCCCUGGGCAUGCCACCCUCCAAGAGCCUCUAUGUGUUCAGCUAUUCAGAAGCUCCCAAACCCUGCCCUCUUGGGCUUUUCAUGGAGACUGCACUGGAUAGGCAUGAUUGACAACCAUGAAGAAAUGUGACUGGACCUAAAUCCAACAAGCUCCACUGGGCGCAAUGGCUCACGACUGUAAUCCCAGCACUUUGGGAGGCCAAGGCAGGGGAUCACUUGAGGUCAGGAGUUCAAGACCAGCCUGGCCAAUGUGGCGAAACCCUGUCUAUACUAAAAAUACAAAAACUAGCCGGGCAUGGUGGUAUGCACCUGUAAUCCCAGCGACUCUGGAGGCUGAGGCAGGACAAUCGCUUGAACCCAGGAGGCAGAGGUUGCAGCAAGCUGAGAUCACAACACUGCACUCCAGCCUAGGUGACACAGUGAGACUCCAUCUCAAAAAAAAAAAAAAACCCAAAACCCAAUAAGCCCUGUCUUGUUUAGAUUCUUCUCUGUACAGCAGCAUUUCUCCCUCUAGGGUAUGGGGCAACACCUCUAGAAUGAGGGUCUUAUGCCCUAUAAUGCUGUAAAGUCAGAUUAGAGUCCUGCCCUAGGCAAGUUAAAAGAGGGCAAGAGAAGAUCAGAGAGAGAGAUUCCAUUUACUGUAACAAGGACUAUGGGAGUUACCAGCCACCAACUGUGGACAAAUAUAUACAUAUUUUUUUUUUCCUUUUUUUCUGAAAAAGACAGUGCCUCCCACUCCCACCCACUCCCUAAACUCAACUGACCACUAAAUAUUGCACAUUUUUCAUUCUUGCUCCUUUAAGAAAUAAAAAUAACUCAGAGUCACUAGCUCUUGCCCCCUCUUAUACUUUGGUAUUUCAGACAUUUAAAUCUAGCACCUAAAAAGAAAGAAUUAAUCAUCAUGGCCAAAGUGUGUUGAUAUUACUUUAGUUCCAAUUAUACCACCAACUGAAUCAAGAUGACUUAGAGUGUCAACACAUGUUUUUCAACAAAUUAUGUCUAUUUGCUUUUUAGUAUGUAUUAAACAAUUCAUUUCACAUGUUUAUUUAUGCAGACUUUUGAAUCAUUCUACGUAUCUUAAAAACUUUCUAUGGGGGAUUUAACAUUUCUGUUCUUUAACAAUUUCCAUAAUUUUCCCAGUGCCAUACUUGCUGUGCAAGGCCUUCUCGACUUUCAGUAGAGCUGAGAAGGAUGCGGCGGUUUGCCAGUGCUUCUUCAUAAGGCACAGACUCCAAGAGGGGCUAUGAUAAAAGCAUCAUAAGAAUUAAAGAAAAAAUAUUGUAUCACCCCUCCCCUGCAUCCAACAUACACAAAGAAUGCUAAACGAGGUGUGACAAUAAAUUCAGAUGUAUGUCAAAGCAGACUAUUUUCUUUAAUACACGUGAAAACGAAGAUAAUUUUUUAAAAGAAAAAUAAUAGCCUGGGCGCGGUGGCUCACACCUAUAAUCCCAGCACUUUGGGAGGUCGAGGCGAGCGGAUCACAAGGUCAGGAAUUCAAGACCAGCCUGGCCAAUAUGGUGAAACCCCAUCUCUACUAAAAAUACAAAAAUUAGCCGGGUAUGGUGGCACGCGCCUGUAGUCCCAGCUACUAGGGAAGCUGAGGCACGAGAAUCACUUGAACCUGGGAGGCGGAGGUUGCAGUGAGCAGAGAUUGUGCCAUUGCACUCUAGCCUGGACAACAGAGCGAGACUCCGUCUCAAAAAGAAAAAAAAAAGAAAAACAAUAAAGAACUUAAAGCAAUUAUAAAUGGUCACUGACUUACCUUGGUUCGACUGAUGACUUUACGAUGGUGCAAAAGCAAUGCAUUCAGUAGAAAUCAUAUUUUUGAGUACUUAUACAUACAACCAUUCUGUUUUUCACUUUCAGUACAGUAUUCAGUAAGUUACAUGAGAUAUUCAACACUAUUAUAAAAUUGGCCGGGAGUGGUGGCUCACCCCUGUAAUCUUAGCACUUUGGGACACCGAGGUGAUGGAUUGCUUGAGGUCAGGAGUUCGAGACCAGCCGGGCCAAAAUGGUGCUACUAAAAAUACAAAAAUUAGCCAGGCGUGGUGGCACACACCUGUAAUCCAAGCUACUCAGGAGGCUGAGGCAGGAGGCUCCUUUGAACCCCGAAGGCAGAGGUUGCAGUGAGCAGAGAUUGCAUCACUGCACUCCAGCCUGGGCGACAGAGUGAGUAAGACUCCAUCUCAAAAAUAAAUAAAUAAGGCCAGGCACGGUGGCUCAUGCCAGUAAUCCCAGCACUUUGGAAGGCCGAGGCGGGUGGACUUCCUAAGGUCAGGAGUUCGAGACCAGCCUGACCAACAUGGUGAAACCCCGUUUCUACUAAAAAUACAAAAACAAUUAGCCGGGGGAGGUGGCAGGAUCCUGUGGGAGGCUGAGGCAGGAGAAUCGCUUGAACCCAGGAGGCGGAGGUUGUGGUGAGCCGAGAUCGCGCCAUUGCACUCCAGCCUGGGCGACAGAGCAAGACUCUGAUUCAAAAAUAAAUAAAUAAAUAAAUAAAUAAAUAAAAUAAAAUAGGCUUUAUGUUAGAUGACUUGCCCAAGUGUAGGCUAAUGUAAGUGUUUUGAGCACAUUUAAGGCAGGCUAGGCUAAGCUAUGAUGGUUGGUAGGUUAGGCACAUUAAAUGCAUUUUUGACAUGACUUUUUUUUUUUUUUUUUUUUUUUUUUUUUUUUUUUUUUUGAGACAAGGUCUCACUUUGUCGCCCUGGGCUGGAGUGCAGUAGCGUGAUCACGACUCACUGCAGCCUUGACCUCCCAGACUCCAGGGCUCCUCCUGCCUCAGCCCAGCCUCCCAAGCAUGCACCUGGGACUACAGGCAUGCACCACCAUGCCAGGCUAUUUUUUUUUUUUUUUUUUUUUUUGGAGAGACGAGGUCUCCCUAUGUUGCCCAGGCUGAUCUCGAACUCCUGGACUCAAGUGAUCCUCCCACCCUGGCAUCCCAAAGUGUCGGGAUUACAGGCAUGAGCCACUGCACCCGGCUGCAACAUUUUCAACAUACAAUGGGCUUAUCAGGACGUAAUCCCAUCAUAAGUCAAGGAGCAUCAGUAUAAGCUACACUAACUAAAACCAUAAGGACUUGCACCAAAAUAGAUGAAGAACAGAAUAAAAUAUCCAGAAACGAACAAAAGCAUACAUAAAAAUUUAUUAUGUGGCAAAUAUUGCAUUUCUAACUGAAUGGAGAAAAGAUGGACUAAAUAAACGGUACAAGGACAACCAGCUAAUUAUUGAAAAAAAAUAAUUAUUUAGAUCCUUCUUUGACAUCUUAUAUCAGAAUAAAUUCUGGAUGAAUUAAAGAUCCAAAUCUAAAAAUUUAUUUAUUUAUGUAUUUUUUUCCAGCUACUACAGGCUGCCUGUCCAAAUGUAAAAAUUGAGACUGUAAAAAUGCUGGAAGAAAAUACACGUGAAUGUUUCUACCUUGGAAAUCAACCCUGGCUAAGAAUGAUCACCAUGAAGAAAAAGACCUAUUUGAUGAUACAAAAAUAAAAACUUCUAUUUUGAAAAACUAUUACAGCAAACUAGGGAAAAAUAUUUCCCACAUAAACACAAAAUUAACAUUCUUAAUACAGAGACAGCUCUUUCAACCCUAAUUAGAAACAUUUAUUUAAAAAUAGGUAAGGCCGGGCGCAGUGGCUCACGCCUGUAAUCCCAGCACUUUGGUAGGCCGAGGCAGGUGGAUCAGGAGGUCAGGAGAUCAAGACCAUCCUGGCUAACAUGGUGAAACCCCGUCUCUACUAAAAGUACAAAAAAUUAGCUGGGUGUGGUGGCGGGCACCUGUAGUCCCAGCUACUUGGGAAGCUGAGGCAGGAGAAUGGUGUGAACCCGGGAGGCGGAGCCGAGAUCAUGCCACUGCACUCCAGCCUGGGCGAUAGUGCAAGACUCCGUCUCAAAAAAAAAAAAAAAAAAAAAAAGGUAAAUGACCUAAAGAGAGAAUUUAUACAAUAAACACAAGUGAUAACUAUGAAAGGAUGUUCCACCUCAUUAACAAGCAAAUAUAUACAUAUGAACCAAAACAACAGCAAGAAACCUCUCCUGAGAUUGAUAAAUAUUAAAUGCAUGGGUUAAAUUCAUAUUUCUACUACAGGCAAACUAUAAAUAGGUAACCUUCCUGAAGUAUAGUCUGGAAAAACAUGCCAAAAUUUGAAACACUCACAGACUUUGAACCAGCAAUUCACAUAGGGAGAUAGGUAGCUUUUAUACCGUGGGAAGUAUCCUUCAGAGUGCCCAUUUUGAAGGACAACUAGCAACUACUAUUAAAACUUAAAAUGCACAAGCCACAUGGCCUACAACAUUCUACUUCUCAUAUUCCACCCAUGUGCCUAAGGAAACAUUUACAAGGCUAUCCAUUGCAGUAUUAUUGUAACAGUAAAAAAGUAGAAUUAACCUAAAUGCCUACCAAUUAAGGGAAACCUAAACAAACUAUGGAACAUCCAUAUUAUAGAAUUCUAUGCCGUAUCUAAAAGGAACCUAGUGAGUUCCACGUGAAAUGACAUAGACAGUCUCUAAGUCAUUAUUUUAAACAAAAAAAAGCAAAUUGCAAAAUGAAACAUGCAUUUGGGAAGAAAAAAGGACAAGAAAAGAGAAAAGGAGAAAAGAACAAAAGAAAAGUGAAGGAAGGAAGGAAGAAAAAUUCUUUGUUUAUAGAUUGCAUGCUUAUAAAUGCUCAAAGAGCCUGAAAGGUUACACAUCAAACUGAUAAUUAUGGUUACCUCUAGAGAGGAACUGGAAUUAGGGAUUAUAAUUUACCUGUAAUGAUCUAAUUUAAUAUAAGAAUGUGUUUAUGCACUGCAUAGUUAAAACGUUUAAAGAUGAGAAAAAAGUAAAAUGCACAAAUUGCAGGUGCAAGAAUAUCCACUGUAGCACUCCACUGUAACAGUGAAAAACAGGCAACAACUUAAAUAUCUACCAGCAAUGAAUUAAAUUAUAAAUUUACAGAAGGAAACACCAUAAAUAAAUGAUGACAGCUGGCAGCUCUGGGUGCACUGUCUAUAAGUAGUCCUGCUCCCCAAGGAGCAGCUAAAAAAUAAAAACAUAGUAAUUUAUAUUUUAUAUUUUAUUAUUCCUAUUUCUUUCAUUCUUUUUUAAUGAUGUCCCUUGAGUCAUGUAUUUUAUAGAUACAAUUUUUGAGAUAUAUAUAAAUAUAUCCUCAAUGCAUUAAGAGAAAAAAAUAUUCUAAAACAGUACAUGCACCUAAAUACAUUCUGCUUUUUAUAGUAUGUGUGUGCAUGUGCACUCAAACAUAUAAUAACAUUUUUUGGAUAUAAAUAUAUUGUUUUCUAAAAAAGUCAAUUAUAGCUACAUUUGGGUGGUAGGAUUACAGGUGACCACAAUUUUCUUCUUAAUAUACUGCAGUAUCUUCUCUCUUUUUUUUUUCUUUUUUUUUGCAACAACUGCAUAUUCUUAUUCAGAAAAAAGUCAUACACAUAUUUCUUUUUUUUCUGUUUCUACAAGUUUAAGAGUCUCUGAAGUUCAAUAUUUACUGUUUGGCUGGCUACCUCACCCCAGGCGCUCUAUCAGGCACUUGGGACAUGAGUCCAACAUGGCCUACGAAUAUAGGCAACGCUGCUUCUCAGGUAAAGUCUGGGUCCUGUCACCUCCUCUUCCCCACAGCCCUCCCCCAACACCCACCAACAACCUGUACCCCAAUAUCGUAUAAAAAGUCAACAAUAUAAACUGCAGAAAAACUCUUGCCAUUCUCUAGAAUGACUCCUGAUGUUUCCUCUGAUUUAAAUAUUAACAGCAGCUAACAAACCUUUCUCAAAGACUUCAUAUAGGCAGCAGCUUUUUUCUUAUACUGUAGCAUGCAUUCAGCUGAAAGAGGACUAAUGAAUCCACUCGCUGCCUUAGGUCCAUAGCUCAGUGAAGCAAUGAAGUAGUCCAAAUUGUUGCUGAAGAAGGAUGCAAUCUAAACAAAGUAUGACAAGGAAAUAGAUUUUGUUUUCCAACAAUAUAUCUAAAAUAUAUAUCUAAUAGUUUUUGCAGCAAAGUUUAAAGAUGUUGAGAAUGGAAAUGGAAAUGAAAUUUCAACACCUGCCCCAAAGUCCACAUUUAUUUAUUUGAGAAUACCUAGGCAAUGGUUUAUAAUAAAAAGAGGACACCAGUAUAAAUAGUCAGAACAAAUUUCUGACAUGUCCUUUUCUAGACAAUUUCUAUUCUUCCUGAAAACCAAGACUGAUACUCAUUUAUUCUGUAGGUGACUUUCAUGAGCUCUUUACCUCAUUGAUUUCUGCCACUGUUCUCAAAAUAUCCAUGUUCGGAUUUCUAGAUUCCAUAUUUUAACUUUGAAUAUUUC